rnacentral:rRNA from 1 species
UACGAAGGGGGCUAGCGUUGCUCGGAAUCACUGGGCGUAAAGGGUGCGUAGGCGGGUCUUUAAGUCAGGGGUGAAAUCCUGGAGCUCAACUCCAGAACUGCCUUUGAUACUGAGGAUCUUGAGUUCGGGAGAGGUGAGUGGAACUGCGAGUGUAGAGGUGAAAUUCGUAGAUAUUCGCGAGAACACCAGUGGCGAAGGCGGCUCACUGGCCCGAUACUGACGCUGAGGCACGAAAGCGUGGGGAGCAAACAGG